rnacentral:rRNA from 1 species
GACGAACGCUGGCGGCGUGCUUAACACAUGCAAGUCGAACGGAAAGGCCCUGCUUGCAGGGUACUCGAGUGGCGAACGGGUGAGUAACACGUGGGUGAUCUGCCCUGCACUUCGGGAUAAGCCUGGGAAACUGGGUCUAAUACCGGAUAGGAGCCAUUUUUAGUGUGAUGGUUGGAAAGUUUUUUCGGUGUAGGAUGAGCUCGCGGCCUAUCAGCUUGUUGGUGGGGUAAUGGCCUACCAAGGAGGCGACGGGUAGCCGGCCUGAGAGGGUGGACGGCCACAUUGGGACUGAGAUACGGCCCAGACUCCUACGGGAGGCAGCAGUGGGGAAUAUUGCACAAUGGGCGCAAGCCUGAUGCAGCGACGCCGCGUGGGGGAUGACGGCCUUCGGGUUGUAAACUCCUUUCGCUAGGGACGAAGCUUUUUGUGACGGUACCUAGAUAAGAAGCACCGGCUAACUACGUG